UUGACCUCGGAUCAGGUAGGGAUACCCGCUGAACUUAAGCAUAUCAAUAAGCGGAGGAAUU
rnacentral:rRNA from 1 species